UACGUAGGGGGCAAGCGUUGUCCGGAAUUAUUGGGCGUAAAGAGCGCGUAGGCGGUCCGGUAAGUCGGUUGUGAAAGUCGGGGGCUCAACCCUCGGAUGCCGAUCGAUACUGUCGGGCUAGAGUCCGGAAGAGGCGAGUGGAAUUCCUGGUGUAGCGGUGAAAUGCGCAGAUAUCAGGAGGAACACCGGUGGCGAAGGCGGUUCUCUGGGCAUGUCCUGACGCUGAGGAGCGAAAGUGUGGGGAGCGAACAGG
rnacentral:rRNA from 1 species